ACCUGGCUGGCUCAGUUGGAAGAGCAUGAGACUCUUGAUCUCAAAGUUGUGAGUUCUAGCCCCAUGAUGGGUG
rnacentral:tRNA from 1 species